UCCUACGGGGGGCAGCAGUGAGGAAUAUUGGACAAUGGGCUUACGCCUGAACCAGCCAAGUCGCGUGAGGGAAGACUGCCCUAUGGGUUGUAAACCUCUUUUGUCAGGGAGCAACGCCGGCUACGUGUAGCCGGACUGAGAGUACCUGAAGAAAAAGCAUCGGCUAACUCCGUGCCAGCAGCCGCGGUAAUACGGAGGAUGCGAGCGUUAUCCGGAUUUAUUGGGUUUAAAGGGUGCGUAGGCGGAAUGCCAAGUCAGCGGUAAAAUCGCGGGGCUCAACCUAGCUCCGCCGUUGAAACUGGCGU
rnacentral:rRNA from 1 species